GACGAACGCUGGCGGCGUGCUUAACACAUGCAAGUCGAACGGAAAGGCCCUGCUUUUGUGGGGUGCUCGAGUGGCGAACGGGUGAGUAACACGAGAGUAACCUGCCCUUGACUUUGGGAUAACUUCAGGAAACUGGGGCUAAUAUCGGAUAGGAGCUCCUGCUGCAUGGUGGGGGUUGAAAAGUUUCGGCGGUUGGGGAUGGACUCGCGGCUUAUCAGCUUGUUGGUGGGGUAGUGGCUUACCAAGGCUUUGACGGGUAGCCGGCCUGAGAGGGUGACCGGCCACAUUGGGACUGAGAUACGGCCCAGACUCCUACGGGAGGCAGCAGUGGGGAAUAUUGCACAAUGGGCGGAAGCCUGAUGCAGCAACGCCGCGUGCGGGAUGACGGCCUUCGGGUUGUAAACCGCUUUCGCCUGUGACGAAGCGUGAGUGACGGUAAUGGGUAAAGAAGCACCGGCUAACUACGUG
rnacentral:rRNA from 1 species